rnacentral:rRNA from 1 species
UACAUAGGGGGCGAGCGUUGUUCGGAUUCACUGGGCGUAAAGGGCGCGUAGGCGGUUUUGAAAGUCUGAUGUGAAAUCUCCGGGCCCAACCCGGAGAUGGCAUUAGAAACUACAGGGCUAGAGGCUUGGAGGGGGAACUGGAAUUCCGGUGUAGCAGUGAAAUGCGUAGAGAUCGAGAGGAACACCAGUGGCGAAGGCGGCCUGCUGGGCAGUGGCUGACACUGAGGAGCGACAGCGUGGGGAGCAAACAGG